GAAGGAAGGAGGGAGGGAGGAAGGAAGGAAAGGAGUAAGGAGGGAGGGAGGGAGGAAAAGAGGAAGGAAGAAGCAACGAAGGAUGGAAGGAAGUGAGGAAAGAAGUAUGGAAGGAGGAGGGAGCAAAGAAAGAGGGAAGGAGGGGAAGAA